rnacentral:rRNA from 1 species
AGUGGGGGGAAUAUGGGUCAAUGGGCGCAGGCUAGUUUCCAGCAAUACCGACGUGGGUGGAAGGAAGGCUGGAGGGUUGUAAAGCUCUUUUCAAUUGGAGAAGGGAUCACUAUCGGGUUAAUACCCGGUAGUCUGACAUUAUCCGAUACAAGAAAGCACCAGGCUAACCUCCGUCACAAGCAGUCGGCAGUAAUACGGGAGGAGUGCAAGCGUUACUAGGUAAUUUCUGGGAUGUCAAUGCGUGUGUAGGCGGUUUUUUAAGUCAUGAUAUGAAAAGCCGUGAGAUCAUCGUGGGAACCUCAUUUGAUACUGGGGAACUAGAUGUUGUGUAGAGGAGAGUGGAAUUUCAGGUGUAGCGGCGAGAAUGCGUAGAGAUCUGAAGGAACACCAGUGGCGAAGGCGGCUGUCUGGACUCAAAUUGACGUUGAGGUACGAAAGCGUGGGUAGCAAACAGGAUUAGAUACCCUGGUAGUCCACGCCAGUAAACGAUGUCAACUAACCGUUGGGUUCUUAAAGAAAUUAGUGGUGGAGCUAACGUAUUAAGUUGACCGCUGGCGAGUACGGCCGCAAGGCUAAAACUCAAAUGAAUUGACGGGGGCCCGCACAAGCGGUGGAGCAUGUGGUUUAAUUUGAUGCAACGCGAAGAACCUUACCUACCCUUGACAUCCUAGGAACUUGUCAGAGAUGACUUGGUGCCUUCGGGAACCGAGAGACAGGUGCUGCAUGGCUGUCGUCAGCUCGUGUCGUGAGAUGUUGGGUUAAGUCCCGUAACGAGCGCAACCCUUAUCCUUAGUUCCCAGCGGGUCAUGGCGGGAACUCUAGGGAGACUGCCGGUGAUAAACCGGAGGAAGGUGGGGAGGACGUCAAGUCAUCAUGGCCUUUAUGGGUAGGGCUACACACGUGCUACAAUGGUCGGUACAGAGGGUUGAGAACUCGCGAGAGCCAGCCAAUCCCAAAAAGCCGAUCCUAGUCCGGAUUGCAGUCUGCAACUCGAAUGCAUGAAGUAGGAAUCGCUAGUAAUCGCGGAUCAGAAUUCCGCGGUGAAUACGUUCCCGGGCCUUGUACCCACCGCCCGUCACACCACGGGAGCGGGUUGCAAAAGAAGUA